AAAAUAUUUUAGUCUUAGAUGAUUAUCCUAACAUUGUUUUAUAAAUCCAAAUAAUUUUUACUGUGACUUUGAACGUUCGAAUUAUAGCUUUUCUACUACUACGUAGUUACGUGAUGUCAGGAUUGUCAACAAAGCGUCUGGAGUGGGGAUAGACGAUUCUAAUGAAGGACUCCUCUUGCCCCUGUACUCUCCUGCGAAAUUUCUUUCCACCAACGAACAGUAUCUCGAGAUAUUUCUUCAAGAACGAACAUCUUGCCCGAUAAAAAUAAAUAAUAGAUAAACAUAUUUGAGAAUAUAUUUACACUUACCAUUCUACGAGCGAAGAUUUAUAACCUCUCAAUUAAUUCAUAUAAAUUUCCAUCUAUAUCUCCGUUACAAGAUCGUUCUAAAAGGAAAAAUUUUAUCGGCACGUUUGGAAAUUCGACGCGUGUCUAUCGACAUAAAGCUCGAAAUCGAGGUAGAUUGCGACUUUUCACGCGGAAAUCGCGCUAUUUUUACCGAAGGGACUCUCAAUAAUUCAACACAUUUCCGCCAGGGUCUCAACGUUCGCCCAAUUCUUCUCCACGGUUUCGCGCCUCAAUCUUUCUGGAUCGAGCGGACAUGUUUUAUUCACCGAGUAACCUCUAUCGUAUUCUCGAGUUAUUUCUCGUGUGACCGAUAUAACGAAUUUCUUGCGUUUUCGAGUUGGAUGAUCGAGUUUUUUGACUUUUGGAAUUGGAAAUUUUCAUCGACACGAUUUUCAGAUAAUGAUUUUCAACCUAUACGAAAUAUCGAGCUGAAUUUGAUUAAAAGUGAAGGAUUUCUUCUUUUUGGACGAAGAAAAAUGGAUUGUUUAUACGGAAAUAAAAAUCGAAAGUUUCGAAAAGAUUAAAGUUAAAAUUUCGCACGAAAAGGAAAAAGUUUAAAAUUAUGUGAAAUUACAAGAGAAAAAAAAAAAAAGAAAAAAGAAAAAUUCUAUCAACAGACCGGCGACGAAAGUUUUCUUGGCAGAAACGAUACGAUUGUAUCUGUCCGCUGGUGGCCGAAUAACAGGAAAAUUAGCACAAGAUCGUGCCCCUCGUGUAUACACGUGUGUGAGUGUGUGAAUGUCCCCACUGUUGAUACAGUAGCUAUCGAUGGAAGUGGGUCGGUUCGUCAGUCUGUCCCAGCCUGUUUUCAGCGAAAACGUGUCCAUCCGACAAGAGGAUGUUUCAAGUCUCUCUCUCGUACGUAACCGGUUACACAGGGUUAUAAAAGACAUUUGCAACUUGCGUGAGAGAUCGAUUGCGAUGGUGUGAUUACGAGGAGAAAAGAAAAGAAAAGGAAGGAAAAUAGAGAAAUAAAUCAGAGUCACACGCGUGUACGAGUAUAACAAGUAUAUGUAAUAUUUGCAUACAUGUUCGUACGUGUGUAUAUAACAUCAUUUUGACGACUUUAGCAUUGAGGCAUUGAAAGUGUGUUGUACAGAUAAAAUUACAUUGUAACAAGGAAUAGCAGCCUUGCAACUUGAAUUCUUUUCCCUUUAUUGAAGAUAAAUGGAAGUAAGUACAAACUUGGGCAGAAAAAUUAAUAUAAAAGGAAGAAAUUUUAAAAAUAGUAUUAUCAAUAAUAAACUCGUACAAUUGUUCUUAUUCAUCUAUGAUAAUCUGUACUCUCAACGUUUACAUCUGUAAUCAUCUAGAUCCCAGUGUAACAACAUUAAAAUUUCCAAAUAUAUGUUUUCGAGUCGUGAGAUUGGAGGUUUUGAUAAUAUAGAACAUACACGAUUUUGUAUUAAAUUUUGAAUUCUGUGAAUGCAAGAAAGAGAGAAAGAGAGAGAAAUAGAAAGAGAGAAAGAAAUAGAAUAUAUAUAUAGAGAGAAAGAGAGAGAAAGGGGGUAAGAAGGAGGGGACGUGACACGCUUAUCAGGAGGCAAAACAACACCAUAUCUAUAUAGGUAUAUUUCAAUACGAUAAUGUCACACGGUGCAACCAGCGUUAUUACAAUACGAUCUUGGUAUAUAUACGUACACGGAGUAAACAUGGGCAGUUGAAUACUACGGAUUCGUCCCAGGUGUAAAAGAAACAGGAAGAAGCUAAAUCGUAGACAAUAUAGGAACAGAGAGACUUUAUAUGUAUAUAGUAGAGGAGAGAGAGAGAAAAUCUCAAAAAAAAAGAAUAAAAUGAAAACUGCAAGAUACAGCAUUUUAAUUAAAAAGAACAGUGUAUAUAUGUAUGUGUGUAUGUGUGUACGGUAAUUGAUAAAGGUAAAGAGCUACUAAAGAGGUAAUAGCAUUAACCCGUGCCAGCUGGAAUCUAAGGCAAGGAUGUGCACUCAGAUGGUGAUCCCUGUUGAGAGGGUUGAAAAGGGAAUGUCUUUAGAUAUUAUGAAAUCAGAAGAGAUUUUAGAGGAUAGCUAGAGAAAGUAGAAGAAAAGAAGAGUUUUUUUUUUAUUUCUUUUUUUUCUUUUAUAUGGUUUUAUACAUCGUGACUAUUUGAAGGUUGGGGAAACACAAUGAUAUAACAAGAAUAUAUUGUAAGAGUAUAAUAAAAUUUUAUUAGAAAAGUC
rnacentral:lncRNA from 1 species